rnacentral:rRNA from 1 species
GACGAACGCUGGCGGCGUGCUUAACACAUGCAAGUCGAACGGAAAGGACCUGCUUUUGUGGGGUGCUCGAGUGCCGAAAGGGUGAGUAACACGUGAGUAACCUGCCCUUGACUUUGGGAUCCCUUCAGGAAACUGGGGCUAAUAACGGAUCGGAGCUCCUGCUGCAAGGUGGGGGAUGGAAAGUUUCGGCUGUUGGGGAUGGACUGGCGGCUUAUCAGCUUGUUGGUGUGGUAGUGGCUUACCACGGCUUUGACGGGUAGCCGGCCUGGGAGGGUGACCGGCCACAUUGGGACUGAGAUACGGCACAGACCCCUACGGGAGGCAGCAGUGGAGAAUAUGGCACAAUGGACGGAAGCCUGAUGCAGCAACGCCGCGUGCGGGAUGACGGCCUUCGGGUUGUAAACCGCUUUCGCCUGUGACGAAGCGUGAGUGACGGUAAUGGGUAAAGAAGCACCGGCUAACUACGUG